rnacentral:tRNA from 1 species
GGGGAGUGAGGCUGAGGUAGCCGGGGGGUCUCCAACACCCUCGUCGACCAGGUUCGAUUCCUGGUACUCCCGCUCCA